AUGACACAGAUCAGGGCCAUCUCUUCCAGUGCAUCCUCCAUUAGUUCCCAUUGGUCUUGUGAUACUCAGCACCUUCUUGGACUUUGUUCAGUUAUUUUUACAAAUUUAAAUUCAUUAUUUCUUCCAGUUGUAGUAAAUGUUAAUGUUUGCAACCUCAGCUUAGGGUGUAUCUGCACCCUUACCUUCAGGUUGCACUAUAUCCCAGUACUUCUGCGCAACUGUGACUUCAUAGUGACACCAAGAGCAACCUUCACAGGUCAUAAUUACCAGCAUAACUGUUGGAAAUCCUACCACUUGGCAUUUAGACUUGGAUUUACCCCACAUCUAAUAGCCCCUUCUGGAUUGCUUCCACUUCAGACAAGCCAUCUGACUGUGGAGCUCUGAUUUAUGGAUCAGUUGUAAAAGGCAGAAAUGUUGUCUCUGCUCUGAGGACACUUUGUUGAAAUUUGCUCAGCUUGCAGCAAAGAAUUGCAGAAGUUGAUAAGUGCUAAAAAUAACUCAGCAGAGGGCUGUCCAAUGAGUUAGCUUUAGGAUGAGUCAUGGAAAAGCUGGAGAGUAUUGUCAGCAUACAAGUUAUAUGGCUUUCUACUUCAUUUGGAUAUGCUUGUGAAGUGUGUGAAACAGUCUCAUAAAAGCACUCAUCAGGUCUAUUGAUAUGGCUGUACAUCUUUCAAGCAAUUUGGGGUCACAUACUUUUUGAGAAUUAACUGUACUGUAACUUGCAGAAACUGAAAAUAAAAUGAAAUGGGAC
rnacentral:lncRNA from 1 species